GUCUAGUGUGGUGGGAUGGGGGGAGUGGAAUAAGACAUCACUGUGUAACUGAAUGAGAAGAGGGAUGCUCUGUGGUGAAAAAAAAACCAUUGUGAAGAGGAAUUAACGUGACAAUAUAAAGGGAGCUGUUUCUUUUUUUUUCAAGCUGAGCCACAGACAGACAAGACAGGAGGGCAGAUCCAGCCUAUAGACUUGGGUGGAGGAGGUAGAUUUGUCUUCAAAGGGGUACUUUAAAAGCAGCUUUCGAUAACCUUUCGAAAGAAGGGAGGAGAGCCUUUGGAGCCUUUUAACAGUUUGGAAGCUGGGACUCUUAAUCCGACCAACCACCAGGAAAAAAAGCAGGAAAACAAAAAGAAGAGGAAGAAAUCUGCAACAGCUUUGAUCAACAGUGUUGGGUUUCAGCUCAGGGGUCGGAGCUUCAGUGCCUGAGCUUGUCUGAACUCGAGUCUCCAGAACCGCUGGGAGCAACAGCCUCGAUCCUACUAACACUGAUCAGAUGGUGUCAGGAGAAGACUGUGGCAGACAAACAGCAGCCAGAGGAAGGUA